UACAGAGGUCUCAAGCGUUGUUCGGAUUCAUUGGGCGUAAAGGGCGCGUAGGCGGCGGGGUAAGUCGGGUGUGAAAUCUCAGAGCUUAACUCCGAAACUGCAUUCGAUACUGCGGUGCUUGAGGACUGGAGAGGAGACUGGAAUUCAUGGUGUAGCAGUGAAAUGCGUAGAGAUCAUGAGGAAGACCAGUGGCGAAGGCGGGUCUCUGGACAGUUCCUGACACUGAGGCACGAAGGCCAGGGGAGCAAACGGG
rnacentral:rRNA from 1 species